rnacentral:snRNA from 1 species
GUUGUUCCCGUUGGCUCAAAAUAUAUUUUUCCUAUGAUACAGAGAAGAUGAGCAUGGGCCCUGAGCAAGAAUGACAAACUAAUUCGUGAAGCGUUCCAUAUUUUU